rnacentral:tRNA from 1 species
GGAGAGGUGGCAGAGUGGCCGAAUGCACCGCUUUCGAAAAGCGGAGUCCGCAUUAUGUGGACCGCAGGUUCGAAUCCUGUCCUCUCCGCCA